rnacentral:rRNA from 1 species
UACGGAGGAUGCAAGCGUUAUCCGGAAUGAUUGGGCGUAAAGCGUCCGCAGGUGGCUAUGUAAGUCUGCUGUUAAAGAGUCUAGCUCAACUAGAUAAGAGCAGUGGAAACUACAUGGCUAGAGUGCGUUCGGGGCAGAGGGAAUUCCUGGUGUAGCGGUGAAAUGCGCAGAUAUCAGGAGGAACACCGGUGGCGAAGGCGGGUCUCUGGGCCGUAACUGACGCUGAGGAGCGAAAGCAUGGGGAGCGAACAGG